AGAAGAAGAAGAAGAAGAAGAAGAAGAAGAAGAAGAAGAAGAAGAAGAAGGUUGCAGCAGCUGACCUCUGACCCCACAGAGUCGCAUUCUUUGCGUUUCUGCAGCACUUAAAGCCAUGACGUGUGCGUGGUGUGCGUGUUCCAUGAUGCGCACUCUCCACUCUAAAUGUGAUUGAUUGUAAACCUGUGCACCUCUUGGUGCCGUAAUGUUUACAUGUUCUGUAAGUUUCAGCCAGUUUUUGUGCGUAAAACCAGGAACACGUUAGUGAUUCUUGUUACGUCCAAAGGUGAUUACGUUAUCCCCACCUCCCUGCUGAUGUCUCCUCUGACUGUGAAGGCCUGAACUGCAGAUUAUGACAUAGUCUUGUCUUGUCUCUUUGUCUCACAGGUGGAAACAGUGACAAAAAUCAAGCUUUUGUGUGGACCCCGCAGCUGGAUUUCCCCCCCACAGCAGCGCGCAGGAGGGAGAAGAUGAAAAAGGUGACCCACGUUUUUUUUGGGAGAUAUUUGCACCAAGGGAGCAGACUGGCAAAGAGAGACUCCCCUUCUGUCCUCCUGCUCGGAUUCAUCCCAACAAAAGGGGUCCAAAGUGAGGAUUGAAGGAGGAGAAAUCCUGACUGAAGGAAAGCUGCCAGAUGAGCCAUCCUCCUCUUUCCAGUUUCUGGUUUGCCAUCUCUUCUCCUGGAGCAACCUCUCUGUCUCCCUCUGAACAGCCUCAGUCUGCUUCAAUGUAACUUCUUCUGUCCAUCUUCCUUCUUUGGCUUCAUGCUGCAGGAUGGAGAAAUACAAUCUUACUGUGCUGAAGAUUGCAAUGUGUCAUCACCUGGACAUAUUCACAUCAUACAACGUGAUGCAGUCACUGCAGCAAAUCAGCUGGAGUGAUCUGUGUGUGUUUGGAGGGGAAGCCCAGAUGAAGCAGACUGAGAGGAUGAUGGGUUCCAGCAGAGAGGGAGGAGAUGACUCUUUGUUUCCACCAACACCACCUAAAACCAGGAAAGUCAAGUUUGAGUGGGACGCUCCGUCCCCCCACACACACCCCGCCCUUGACGUCUAAUCCCAGGACUGGCAGACGGAGCAGCCGGAGCGUCGUGCGUGGUCCCGUCGGGAUGAAACUGCAGCUGUGGAGGAGCGCGACAAUAAUGUGACGGUGGAGGCUCAACAAGUCGGACUGGAGUGUGUGUGUGUGCGUGCGUGCGUGCGUGCGCGCGCGUGUGUUAAAGACGAAAGGGAAAACAACUAUUAUAAAGUCCUGUGUUUUAUAAUUAUACACCUGCAAAAAAUGUAACUUUUGCUGAUUGUCUCAUAAAUAUUUCUGUUCUUAUUUAGGCCUAUAGAUAAAUGUUUGAAACUGUAAUUCUGUGACUUUUUAUUCGUCUCAAAUUGUAUUAAAAUUAUACAAACACUAGAGGUUAUAAAUCCAGGUUUGAAAUGAUUUGAUUACAUUUUAUUAGAAUGACUGAUAUUUUUGCCAAACAAUUAAAUAUCGCAUGAAAAACACCUCGGAAGCCCUCUCCGAGCCCCCACAACUUGUGUCAAAUAUUGCGAGCAGCUGCGUGAGGCUUCCCAGCAUCUAGAUCCAUUUUCUUACUCUCGUGCCUUUGCUGAGUUCACGACAGGCUUCGGUUUGAGCCACAGAGCCCUGAUCUGUCCGCAUUUCGUGUUUGAUUUGCCGGAGCGCGCGUGUGGAGCGGAGGGGGGCCGCGUGCAUGGCGGGCAGAUCAGAUCAGCUCGACUGCAGCUGGACUCGAAACACUCAGCUGCAAACAGGUCGGAGGAGGGAGGACCUUCAUGUGGAGAGAGGGGCAAAAUGUCCUUUUAUUUUUCUGUGAUUGUCUUUAAACGUUGUCUGCUGUAAGUGGAAAUUUUAACAGAGUGUAAAAUCUGAAUAAAAACAAUGGAAAUGUA